AAAACCUUGAGGCUGCCGCCAAACUCUAUUUUAAUCUAGGCCGGGUGAAAUUGAGCUCCCACAAAUUAAUUUCCAGAUGAGAACCCAUUGGAACGGCCAUCACUCAAUUUCCACCGAAAAAUAAAAAUUUAAAAUUAUAUAUAAAAACAGAGAACAGGAUGUGAGACCUUUCUUUGAGCAGAACAGAAUGAGAAAUUGAAUCGAUUUUGCACAUAAUAAAGAAAGGGCUCGAAUCGGUGUAUGCCUGCAACGGAACCGAGAGGCUAAAGAAAUGGCACGAUCGGCUCUCUC
rnacentral:lncRNA from 1 species